GACGAACGCUGGCGGCGUGCUUAACACAUGCAAGUCGAACGGAAAGGCCCUGCUUUUGUGGGGUGCUCGAGUGGCGAACGGGUGAGUAACAUGUGAGUAACCUGCCCUUGACUUUGGGAUAACUUCAGGAAACUGGGGCUAAUACCGGAUAGGAGCUCCUGCUGCAUGGUGGGGGUUGGAAAGUUUCGGCGGUUGGGGAUGGACUCGCGGCUUAUCAGCUUGUUGGUGGGGUAGUGGCUUACCAAGGCUUUGACGGGUAGCCGGCCUGAGAGGGUGACCGGCCACAUUGGGACUGAGAUACGGCCCAGAGUCCUACGGGGGGCAGCAGUGGGGAAUAUUGCACAAUGGGCGGAAGCCUGAUGCAGCAACGCCGCGUGCGGGAUGACGGCCUUCGGGUUGUAAACCGCUUUCGCCUGUGACGAAGCGUGAGUGACGGUAAUGGGUAAAGAAGCACCGGCUAACUACGU
rnacentral:rRNA from 1 species